ACUUUCGAUGGUAGGAUAGAGGCCUACCAUGGUGGUAACGGGUAACGGGGUGUCAGGGCACGACACCGGAGAGGGAGCCUGAGAAACGGCUACCACAUCCAAGGAUGGCAGCAGGCGCGCAAAUUACCCAAUCCCGACACGGGGAGGUAGUGACAAUAAAUAACAAUACGGGGUUCUUUCGGAUCUCGUAAUUGGAAUGAGUACAAUUUAAAUCUCUUAACGAGGAACAAUUGGAGGGCAAGUCUGGUGUCAGCAGCCGCGGUAAUUCCAGCUCCAAUAGCGUAUAUUAAAGUUGUUGCAGUUAAAAAGCUCGUAGUUGAAUUUCGGGAUCAAUAUGUUGGUCGUGCCUUGGUACGUACUGGCGUCAUUGGUUUCUACCUUCUGAAGAACCUCGAUGUCAUUAAUUUGGUGUCUUGGGGAAUCAGGACUGUUACUUUGAAAAAAUUAGAGUGUUUAAAGCAGGCUCACGCUUGAAUACAUUAGCAUGGAAUAAUGAAAUAGGACGUUUGAUUCUAUUUUGUUGGUUUCUAGGAUCGACGUAAUGAUUAAUAGGGAUAGUUGGGGGCAUUAGUAUUCAAUUGUCAGAGGUGAAAUUCUUGGAUUUAUUGAAGACUAACUACUGCGAAAGCAUUUGCCAAGGAUGUUUUCAUUAAUCAAGAACGAAAGUUAGGGGAUCGAAGACGAUCAGAUACCGUCGUAGUCUUAACCAUAAACUAUGCCGACUAGGGAUCGGAUGAUGUUAAUUUUUUAAUGACUCAUUCGGCGCCUUACGGGAAACCAAAGUGUUUGGGUUC
rnacentral:rRNA from 1 species